CUCCCCUGUCUGUCGUGGCUCGCUCCGGAUCCCUCGCCGUCUUGCCAUCAGUCCGCCCUCCAGCUGCUAACCACCAGCCAUCCUUGUGAACACUCGGCCUCAGAGUUUCCCUCACCUUCCCCUCCCCGGUUAGGUUCACUCAACUAAACGUUCCUCCGGCAUUGACGUUCAGACCUCGACGGAUCUCCACACCCGUGAGAUCCAUGUACCUGAACCCUUUAAUAAACACUUUUAAACUGCACUCUGUCUUCUGUAUUGUGUCUGCAUGUGGGCAAGACAUAUAAAAACCAUGACACUUAUGUGCAUAUGGAUGUGGAUGAAUCAAUGUAUUAUGAUCAUGUUUAGAAUAAAUGCUGUGAUUUUCA